GCCCUUAUAGCUCAGUGGCAGAGCGCUGGUCUUGUAAACCAGAGGUCCGUAGUUCGAUCCUGCGUGGGGGCA
rfam:Caenorhabditis briggsae complete genome, chrX